rnacentral:tRNA from 1 species
GGGGAUAUAGCUCAGUUGGUAGAGUGUUUGCCUAGCAUGUACAAGGCCCUGGGUUCAAUCCCCGGUCCCA